rnacentral:rRNA from 1 species
AUUGAACGCUGGCGGCAGGCCUAACACAUGCAAGUCGAGCGAGCGGCGGACGGGUGAGUAAUGUAUGGGGACUGCCCGAUAGAGGGGGAUAACUACUGGAAACGGUAGCUAAUACCGCAUACUAUCGGAUAACCCAUAUGGGAUUAGCUAGUUGGUGAGGUAAUGGCUCACCAAGGCGACUAUCCCUAGCUGGUCUGAGAGGAUGAUCAGCCACACUGGGACGAAGACACGGCCCAGACUCCUGCGGAGGCAGCAGUGGUGAAUAUUGGACAAUGGGCGCAAGACUGAUGCCGCCAUGCCGGGGGUAUGAAGAAGGCCCUAGGGUUGUAAAGUACUUUCAGGCGGGAGGCGUUACCGGCGGAAGAAGCAGCGGCUAAAUCCGUGCCAGCGGCCGCGGUAAUUC